rnacentral:rRNA from 1 species
UGGGGAAUAUUGGACAAUGGGGGGAACCCUGAUCCAGCCAUGCCGCGUGUGUGAAGAAGGCCUUAUGGUUGUAAAGCACUUUAAGCGAGGAGGAGGCUCUCUUGGUUAAUACCCAAGAAGAGUGGACGUUACUCGCAGAAUAAGCACCGGCUAACUCUGUGCCAGCAGCCGCGGUAAUACAGAGGGUGCGAGCGUUAAUCGGAUUUACUGGGCGUAAAGCGUGCGUAGGCGGCUUUUUAAGUCGGAUGUGAAAUCCACGAGCUUAACUUGGGAAUUGCAUUCGAUACUGAGAAGCUAGAGUAUGGGAGAGGAUGGUAGAAUUCCAGGUGUAGCGGUGAAAUGCGUAGAGAUCUGGAGGAAUACCGAUGGCGAAGGCAGCCAUCUGGCCUAAUACUGACGCUGAGGUACGAAAGCAUGGGGAGCAAACAGG